UUCAUAUCCCAUUCAUAGAGGCAUAAAUCCUCUCCUUUUUAA
rnacentral:tRNA from 1 species